ACGCCACCAUCCCGCCGGGGCCCGAGCUGACGCCGACGGCCUCAUCGUACAUCCCCUCCCAUUUUUCCUCACCACCGGCCGACUCCACAGGCCGCACGCCGCCCUCCUUCCACCGCCCUCUCCUCCUCACGGUCCGACUGCCCCGCCGUGUUCCUCUCCCCAUCUUUUGCACCGCUGCCGCACCCCUCCACCACUCACCACCGC
rnacentral:lncRNA from 1 species